CCCCGCCCCGACCCAAGAGCUCGCGCGGGGCAAAGUGAACCGAGCCGCCGGGCGGUGCAAGGGGAAGCCCGACUCCGUACUCCCGGCCAAAGUGAACUUUAAUCGGGGUGGUUGGAUGCGGAGACGGGGCGGCAGGACCUGCUAGAAGUGGCCGAAGAUGAAUCCCCAGCAACAGCGCAUGGCCGCUAUAGGGACCGACAAGGAGCUGAGCGACCUGCUAGACUUCAGUGCGAUGUUUUCCCCACCUGUUAAUAGUGGGAAAACCAGACCAACGACACUGGGAAGCAGUCAGUUCAGUGGAUCAGGUAAGAUGA